GGGUUGUGAGGUUAAGCGACUAAGCGUACACGGUGGAUGCCCUGGCAGUCAGAGGCGAUGAAGGACGUGCUAAUCUGCGAAAAGCGUCGGUAAGGUGAUAUGAACCGUUACAGCCGGCGAUGUCCGAAUGGGGAAACCCAGUGCAAUUCGUUGCACUAUCGUUAACUGAAUACAUAGGUUAACGAGGCGAACCGGGGGAACUGAAACAUCUAAGUACCCCGAGGAAAAGAAAUCAACCGAGAUUCCCCCAGUAGCGGCGAGCGAACGGGGAGCAGCCCAGAGUCUGAAUCAGCUUGUGUGUUAGUGGAACGGUCUGGAAAGUCCGACGGUACAGGGUGAUAGUCCCGUACACCAAAAUGCACAGGUUGUGAACUCGAAGAGUAGGGCGGGACACGUGGUAUCCUGUCUGAAUAUGGGGGGACCAUCCUCCAAGGCUAAAUACUCCUGACUGACCGAUAGUGAACCAGUACCGUGAGGGAAAGGCGAAAAGAACCCCGGCGAGGGGAGUGAAAAAGAACCUGAAACCGUGUACGUACAAGCAGUGGGAGCACCUUCGGGUGUGACUGCGUACCUUUUGUAUAAUGGGUCAGCGACUUAUAUUCUGUAGCAAGGUUAACCGUAUAGGGGAGCCGCAGGGAAACCGAGUCUUAACUGGGCGUUAAGUUGCAGGGUAUAGACCCGAAACCCGGUGAUCUAGCCAUGGGCAGGUUGAAGGUUGGGUAACACUAACUGGAGGACCGAACCGACUAAUGUUGAAAAAUUAGCGGAUGACUUGUGGCUGGGGGUGAAAGGCCAAUCAAACCGGGAGAUAGCUGGUUCUCCCCGAAAGCUAUUUAGGUAGCGCCUCGUGAACUCAUCUUCGGGGUAGAGCACUGUUUCGGCUAGGGGGUCAUCCCGACUUACCAACCCGAUGCAAACUACGAAUACCGAAGAAUGUUAUCACGGGAGACACACGGCGGGUGCUAACGUCCGUCGUGAAGAGGGAAACAACCCAGACCGCCAGCUAAGGUCCCAAAGUCAUGGUUAAGUGGGAAACGAUGUGGGAAGGCACAGACAGCCAGGAUGUUGGCUUAGAAGCAGCCAUCAUUUAAAGAAAGCGUAAUAGCUCACUGGUCGAGUCGGCCUGCGCGGAAGAUGUAACGGGGCUAAACCAUGCACCGAAGCUGCGGCAGCGACACUAUGUGUUGUUGGGUAGGGGAGCGUUCUGUAAGCCUGCGAAGGUGUGCUGUGAGGCAUGCUGGAGGUAUCAGAAGUGCGAAUGCUGACAUAAGUAACGAUAAAGCGGGUGAAAAGCCCGCUCGCCGGAAGACCAAGGGUUCCUGUCCAACGUUAAUCGGGGCAGGGUGAGUCGACCCCUAAGGCGAGGCCGAAAGGCGUAGUCGAUGGGAAACAGGUUAAUAUUCCUGUACUUGGUGUUACUGCGAAGGGGGGACGGAGAAGGCUAUGUUAGCCGGGCGACGGUUGUCCCGGUUUAAGCAUGUAGGCUGAUUGUCCAGGCAAAUCCGGAUAAUCAAGGCUGAGGUGUGAUGACGAGGCACUACGGUGCUGAAGUAACAAAUGCCCUGCUUCCAGGAAAAGCCUCUAAGCAUCAGGUAACAUCAAAUCGUACCCCAAACCGACACAGGUGGUCAGGUAGAGAAUACCAAGGCGCUUGAGAGAACUCGGGUGAAGGAACUAGGCAAAAUGGUGCCGUAACUUCGGGAGAAGGCACGCUGGUGUGUAGGUGAAGUCCCUGCGGAUGGAGCUGAGACCAGUCGAAGAUACCAGCUGGCUGCAACUGUUUAUUAAAAACACAGCACUGUGCAAACACGAAAGUGGACGUAUACGGUGUGACGCCUGCCCGGUGCCGGAAGGUUAAUUGAUGGGGUUAUCCGUAAGGAGAAGCUCUUGAUCGAAGCCCCGGUAAACGGCGGCCGUAACUAUAACGGUCCUAAGGUAGCGAAAUUCCUUGUCGGGUAAGUUCCGACCUGCACGAAUGGCGUAAUGAUGGCCAGGCUGUCUCCACCCGAGACUCAGUGAAAUUGAACUCGCUGUGAAGAUGCAGUGUACCCGCGGCAAGACGGAAAGACCCCGUGAACCUUUACUAUAGCUUGACACUGAACAUUGAGCCUUGAUGUGUAGGAUAGGUGGGAGGCUUUGAAGCGUGGACGCCAGUCUGCGUGGAGCCAACCUUGAAAUACCACCCUUUAAUGUUUGAUGUUCUAACGUUGGCCCCUGACCGGGGUUGCGGACAGUGUCUGGUGGGUAGUUUGACUGGGGCGGUCUCCUCCCAAAGCGUAACGGAGGAGCACGAAGGUUAGCUAAUCCUGGUCGGACAUCAGGAGGUUAGUGCAAUGGCAUAAGCUAGCUUGACUGCGAGCGUGACGGCGCGAGCAGGUGCGAAAGCAGGUCAUAGUGAUCCGGUGGUUCUGAAUGGAAGGGCCAUCGCUCAACGGAUAAAAGGUACUCCGGGGAUAACAGGCUGAUACCGCCCAAGAGUUCAUAUCGACGGCGGUGUUUGGCACCUCGAUGUCGGCUCAUCACAUCCUGGGGCUGAAGUAGGUCCCAAGGGUAUGGCUGUUCGCCAUUUAAAGUGGUACGCGAGCUGGGUUUAGAACGUCGUGAGACAGUUCGGUCCCUAUCUGCCGUGGGCGCUGGAGAAUUGAGGGGGGCUGCUCCUAGUACGAGAGGACCGGAGUGGACGCAUCACUGGUGUUCGGGUUGUCAUGCCAAUGGCACUGCCCGGUAGCUAAAUGCGGAAGAGAUAAGUGCUGAAAGCAUCUAAGCACGAAACUUGCCCCGAGAUGAGUUCUCCCUGAGACUUUAAGUCUCCUGAAGGAACGUUAAAGACGAUGACGUUGAUAGGCCGGGUGUGUAAGCGCAGCGAUGCGUUGAGCUAACCGGUACUAAUGAACCGUGAGGCUUAACCUUACAACGCCGAAG
rnacentral:rRNA from 1 species